UACUAGCCGGGGCGGUAGCGGUGCCCUGUACCCGAAAUCCGCUAUAGCGGGGGUGAAGCCGCGCUUGCGGUUGCUCCUUGUGCUGUCUGCGCCGCAGAAUUCGUGUUGAAGGAUGGGUCUUGCGCAAUCGGGAGCUGUGAACCAUGUCAGGUGGGGGACCAAGCAGCAUUAAACAGUGUACCCGAUGUGCCGUGAGGAAGCCUGUUUGGAGCGGAGACUGCGGUU
rnacentral:SRP_RNA from 1 species